rnacentral:rRNA from 1 species
GACGAACGCUGGCGGCGCGCCUAACACAUGCAAGUCGAACGAGCGAGAGAGAGCCUGCUUUCUCCAGCGAGUGGCGAACGGGUGAGUAACGCGUGAGGAACCUGCCUCAAAGAGGGGGACAACAGUUGGAAACGACUGCUAAUACCGCAUAAGCCCACGACCCGGCAUCGGGUAGAGGGAAAAGGAGCAAUCCGCUUUGAGAUGGCCUCGCGUCCGAUUAGCUAGUUGGUGAGGUAACGGCCCACCAAGGCGACGAUCGGUAGCCGGACUGAGAGGUUGAACGGCCACAUUGGGACUGAGACACGGCCCAGACUCCUACGGGAGGCAGCAGUGGGGAAUAUUGCACAAUGGGGGAAACCCUGAUGCAGCGACGCCGCGUGGAGGAAGAAGGUCUUCGGAUUGUAAACUCCUGUUGUUGAGGAAGAUAAUGACGGUACUCAACAAGGAAGUGACGGCUAACUACGUG